UAUACAAUGUAGAGUUUGAUCCUGGCUCAGGAUGAACGCUAGCUACAGGCUUAACACAUGCAAGUCGAGGGGCAGCAUGGGGGUUGCUUGCAACCCCUGAUGGCGACCGGCACACGGGUGAGUAACGCGUAUCCAACCGGCCCUUGUCCGCGGCACAGCCCGUCGAAAGGCGGAUUAAUGCCGCAUGCGGUCCGAAGACGGCAUCAGAUUCGGACGAAAGGCUUUGGCCGGAGAAGGAUGGGGAUGCGUCCGAUUAGCUUGACGGCGGGGUAACGGCCCACCGUGGCGACGAUCGGUAGGGGUUCUGAGAGGAAGGUCCC
rnacentral:rRNA from 1 species